AUACUUACCUGGGCGGGGUCAAUCGGUGAUCAAGAAGGCCGAUGGCCUAGAGAGAGCACCUUCAUUGCACAUAGAGAAGGGGGCCCUGUCUAGCAUCUCCCAUUGUGGAGAGUGCACGUCAUAAUUUGUGACAGCGGGGGCUCGCGUUCGCGCGGCCCCCAC